rnacentral:tRNA from 1 species
UCCGGCGUGGUCUAGUGACUAGGAUAUCUGGCUUUCACCCAGAAGGCCCGGGUUCGAUUCCCGGCGUCGGAA